UCCGUUCAGAGAAAAAACUUU
rnacentral:piRNA from 1 species